rnacentral:rRNA from 1 species
GACAGAGGUGCCAAGCGUUAGGCGGAAUCACUGGGCUUAAAGCGUGUGUAGGCGGGCCGUUAAGUAUCUUGUGAAAUCCCCCGGCUCAACCGGGGAAUGGCUGGAUAUACUGGCGGUCUUGAGCAGUCUAGGGGCAGAUGGAACAGACGGUGGAGCGGUGAAAUGCGUAGAUAUCGGCUGGAACGCCAAAGGUGAAGACAGUCUGCUGGGGACUUGCUGACGCUGAGACACGAAAGCCAGGGGAGCGAACGGG